AAUCUUCCGCAAUGGACGAAAGUCUGACGGAGCAACGCCGCGUGAUUGAUGAUGGUUUUCGGAUCGUAAAACUCUGCUGUUAGGGAAGAACAAGUAUCGGAGUCACUGCCGGUAUCUUGACGGUAGCUGACGACAAUGCCACGGCUAACUAUGUGCCAGAAGCCGCGGUAAUACGUAGGUGGCAAGCGUUGUCCGGAUUUAUUGGGCGUAAAGCGGGCGCAGGCGGUCCUUUAAGUCUGAUGUUAAAUCUUACAGCUUAAAUGUAAGCGGUCAUUGGAAACUGGGAGACUUGAGUGCAGAAGAGGAGAGUGGAAUUCCAUGUGUAGCGGUGAAAUGCGUAGAGAUAUGGAGGAACACCAGUGGCGAAGGCGACUCUCUGGUCUGUAACUGACGCUGAGGCGCGAAAGCGUGGGGAUCAAACA
rnacentral:rRNA from 1 species